rnacentral:RNase_P_RNA from 1 species
GAGUCGGCUGGGCGGCCGCUCUGCGCGCAAGCGUGGGGAGGAAAGUCCGGGCUCCAUAGGGUAAAGCGCCAGGUAACGCCUGGGGGGCGAGAGCCUACGGAAAGUGCAGCAGAAAAUAUACCGCCUACGUAGCUUCGGCUGCCGGUAAGGUUGAAAUGGUGCGGUAAGAGCGCACCGCGCGACUGGCAACAGUUCGUGGCAUGGUAAACCCCGCUUGGAGCAAGGCCAAAUAGGAAUCCUACGCUGCGACCCGCAGUGGAUUCGGGUAGGCUGCUUGAGGUUUGCGGUGACGCAGGCCCCAGAUGAAUGGUCGUCCACGACAGAACCCGGCUUAUAGGCCGACUCAU